GCGUAAACUUGGCACGUCUCCGUCUCCGGCAGAGCGGCCGUGCGCAGAGGAAACGCCGUUAGUUUACGCAGAGUUUGGGAAGUUUUGAGUUUUUUUGGGGGAGUUGGGGCAGGAGAAAAGUCGCGGUCCAUGUCUGAUCCCGAGCCGAAAACAGCGACCAUCUGACCGACAUGUCGCGAGAAAACACGACGCGGAGUCUGGACACCAUAGACCUCGCUGCGUUACGCGACCCUGCUGGGAUCUUCGAGCUGGUGGAGGUGGUUGGAAAUGGAACAUACGGACAAGUUCAUAAGGGUCGCCAUGUCAAGACGGGUCAGCUGGCGGCGAUCAAAGUCAUGGAGGUCACAGAGGU